GUUUGGCCACACCCAACGGCGUUCCCGCCUCGAGAAAGGUUGGAGUUUCAUGAUGGAGAGCGACAUGUUUUCGUUGUUAUACAUUUUUUUGGUGGGAACGGUAGUGCAAACAUAGGCGCCGAUGUUUAUGUUUCUGCCGGAGGCAGAAUGAGAGCAUCAGGCCUUCAGAGGAGGAAGAUGCUGGAAGAGAAAACCAUGAAAAUGAAGGUUGACCUGAGGAGCAUUCUGACGAGGAUAAGACAGAUCAGGGACAUUCAUGACAACAGCCUGUAACACUACUAAAUAGUGUGGACGGAUGCUCAGCUGUUUCUGCAGGUGAAUUAAUAAAUCCUUGGAAAAAUUUUAAAAAAAAGCUCUUUCAUUUGUUAAGUCACUUUGGAUAAAAGUAACUGCUAAAUCAAUAAAUAUAUACAUUGUGGAAUUGAAAGAUAUUAAUGUAAAGAGGGUUUCCAAAUGAAUGUCAGUGUGAAAAAUCAGCAGUGGGCAUGAAAAUGUAAUUCAGGUGCA